CUACGGGCCGCACCAGUGGGGAAUAUUGCACAAUGGGCGCAAGCCUGAUGCAGCCAUGCCGCGUGUAUGAAGAAGGCCUUCGGGUUGUAAAGUACUUUCAGCGGGGAGGAAGGGAGUAAAGUUAAUACCUUUGCUCAUUGACGUUACCCGCAGAAGAAGCACCGGCUAACUCCGUGCCAGCAGCCGCGGUAAUACGGAGGGUGCAAGCGUUAAUCGGAAUUACUGGGCGUAAAGCGCACGCAGGCGGUUUGUUAAGUCAGAUGUGAAAUCCCCGGGCUCAACCUGGGAACUGCAUCUGAUACGGGCAAGCUUGAGUCUCGUAGAGGGGGGUAGAAUUCCAGGUGUAGCGGUGAAAUGCGUAGAGAUCUGGAGGAAUACCGGUGGCGAAGGCGGCCCCCUGGACGAAGACUGACGCUCAGGUGCGAAAGCGUGGGGAGCAAACAGGAUUAGAUACCCUUGUAGUC
rnacentral:rRNA from 1 species